GAAAUUACGCCUGCAUGAAGCCGGAAUUGCUAGUAAUGGCAGGUCAGCAUACUGCCGUGAAUACGUUCCCGGGCCUUGUACACACCGCCCGUCACACCAUGAGAGUUGGGAAUACCCGAAGCCUGUGAGCUAACUUAUAGAGGCAGCAGUCGAAGGUAGAAUCAAUGAUUGGGGUGAAGUCGUAACAAGGUACC
rnacentral:rRNA from 1 species